AAAUUGAAGAGUUUGAUCAUGGCUCAGAUUGAACGCUGGCGGCAGGCCUAACACAUGCAAGUCGAACGGUAGCACAGAG
rnacentral:rRNA from 6 species